CAAUAGCGUAUAUUAAAGUUGUUGCGGUUAAAAAGCUCGUAGUUGGAUUUCUGCUGAGAACGACCGGUCCGCCCUUUGGGUGUGUAUCUGGCUCUUUCUUGGCAUCUUCUUGGUGAACGUUGCUGCACUUGACUGUGUGGAGCGCUACCCAGGACUUUUACUUUGAGGAAAUUAGAGUGUUUCAAGCAGGCAUACGCCUUGAAUACAUUAGCAUGGAAUAAUAAGAUAGGACCUCGGUUCUAUUUUGUUGGUUUCUAGAGCUGAGGUAAUGAUUAAUAGGGAUAGUUGGGGGCAUUCGUAUUUAACUGUCAGAGGUGAAAUUCUUGGAUUUAUUAAAGACUAACUUAUGCGAAAGCAUUUGCCAAGGAUGUUUUCAUUAA
rnacentral:rRNA from 1 species